rnacentral:rRNA from 1 species
AGGACGAACGCUGGCGGCGUGCUUAACACAUGCAAGUCGAGCGGAAAGGCCCUUCGGGUACUCGAGCGGCGAACGGGUGAGUAACACGUGAGUAACCUGCCCCUAGCUCUGGGAUAGCUCCGGGAAACCGGGAUUAAUACCAGAUACGGACCACUUUUAGACAUCUGUCGUGGUGGAAAGGAUUCCGGCUAGGGAUGGGCUCGCGGCCUAUCAGCUUGUUGGUGGGGUAACGGCCUACCAAGGCGACGACGGGUA